rnacentral:misc_RNA from 1 species
UUUAUACUUGACAAAGGCUUAUAGUCCUUAAUUGAGGGCACAAGCCUGCAAAUGUAUUUUGUAUUAAUAAGCGAACAAACAUGUAAGUCAUUUGGGUAUAAUUCCUCAUAAACAGAAGUGAUUUUGGAUAAAUGACGCUAAAUCCACAUGCUCGAAAACUGAUCCAAAGAGAAAAAGAACGAGAACUGAUAAACAAAGUAUGUUGCUUGGAACAAGGACUGAACGCAACAGAUACCUGACAAUAAGACUUCUCAUUCUUUAAAACAGUGGAACAUUAAAAUGUCGAGGAUGCAUUUUGAGAGGUUAUACGAAAAUUGCUUCUUUGAGGGAAUAACCUGAUAUGUAAAAAAUAUGAAGAACAGCUGUUGUUUGCGGUUAAUCUACUGUUUAUAUUUCAAUGUAAGACAAAUAUUUAUGCUUCGAACAAAUGUAUGUGCCAAUAUAUUGUAUUUGAUCUAAAAAUAAAGAUAAAUAAGGUCUCUAUAUUA